CUAAAUUAACAAAAUUUCAAAUUAAAUAAGUAAAUUUGUUAAAAGGUUUAAAUUUAAAAAUAUAAUUAUUAAUCUUUAGUUGCAUAAAAAAUCUUAAAUUCACUUUUUAUAAUAUUUUUAAGGCUAUGCAUAAAAUCAAAAAAAAAAAACCCAGCACAGGGGGGUCGCGGCACAGUGGUGACGUGGCAUAGUCGGAUCAACUAAAUGAUAUCUGACAGUGAUUAAAAUCACUAUCAAAAAUAAACGCUUCGAUGCAAAUCUUUAGAUAGUGUUAAAUUUUAAAAAAAUUGGUGUUUUAUUCCAAAAGCUACUUGAUCUGCUGGUUCCUUAUUAAUAUCCUGAUUAAGGUAAAGUAUGUCGAAUGAAAAAGGGUUUAUUAAAAAAUAUUAUUUGUCAUAAAAAAAUUGUGUGGAUCCAUAAACUUUUCAAUAAGUUAUAGCAUUAUAAAGUUAAAUAUAAUAUAAAUAAUAAAAUCGAGAAUUUUCACACGAAAAAAGCAUUCGGUAGCCAUUUUCGCCAUGAAGACAAGUCCAGAGGUCAAAUUUUUUUUUUUCAAAUUAAAGUAUAUUACAUUAGCUUUAAUUUAAGAUAUAUAUAAAAGUGUCAGACCUUCCGGAACAUUUUCAAAAGUUAAGUUGAAAAAGUUAAUUUUUUGUGAAAAAGUUGUCAUUUUAAAUCCCCCCCUGUGGGCAGGUUAAGUGUCAGAUUUACAAAAAAAAUAUACCAAAUGAUAGGUAAAGACAUCAAGCAUCUAUAUAAAAAAAAAUUAUAUUGAUAUGUUCAUUUUUGAAAAAGUUACGGCAGUUUUUAGUAAAAAAAAUUGAAAAAAUUUCGAAAAUUAGCGAUUUUUAAAUUUGUAAUUUUUUUGGAGGUUUCCCCCAUUUACGGGGAACGAGGGAAAUUUUUUCAAUUUUGAAGGGUAAUGUCUUCGACUAGAUACGAUUUGUGAUCUUUUGACGUAUCGUUGAAAGAAAUCCGUUCGGUGAGAGCUGAGAAAAAGUGGUAACAGACACAAAAAAAAAAAAACACAUCAUAGUAAAACCAAUACCUUCUCAGCUUCGCA